rnacentral:rRNA from 1 species
AGCACCACGAACGGGUGGAGCUUGUCGGUUUUAAUUGGAUCAACGCCGGAAUCGUUACCGGGACCGGCAGCAAUAUGAAGGCCAGGCUGAAGACUUUGCCGGAUUAGCUGAGAGGUAGUGCAUGGCCGUCGUCAGUUCGUACUGUGAAGCAUCCUGUUAAGUCAGGCAACGAGCGAGACCCACGCCCACAGUUGCCAGCGUACUCUCUGGAGUGACGGGUACACUGUGGGGACCGCCGCUGCUAAAGCGGAGGAAGGAAUGGGCAACGGUAGGUCAGUAUGCCCCGAAUAUCCCGGGCUACACGCGAGCUACAAUGGUUGGUACAAUGGGUAUCUACCCCGAAAGGGGACGGGAAUCUCCUAAAACCAAUCUUAGUUCGGAUUGAGGGCUGCAACUCGCCCUCAUGAAGCUGGAAUCCGUAGUAAUCGCGUUUCAACAGAACGCGGUGAAUACGUCCCUGCUCCUU